AAAUUGAAGAGUUUGAUCAUGGCUCAGAUUGAACGCUGGCGGCAGGCCUAACACAUGCAAGUCGAACGGUAGCACAGAGAGCUUGCUCUCGGGUGACGAGUGGCGGACGGGUGAGUAAUGUCUGGGAAACUGCCUGAUGGAGGGGGAUAACUACUGGAAACGGUGGCUAAUACCGCAUAACGUCGCAAGACCAAAGAGGGGGACCUUCGGGCCUCUUGCCAUCAGAUGUGCCCAGAUGGGAUUAGCUUGUUGGUGAGGUAACGGCUCACCAAGGCGACGAUCCCUAGCUGGUCUGAGAGGAUGACCAGCCACACUGGAACUGAGACACGGUCCAGACUCCUACGGGAGGCAGCAGUGGGGAAUAUUGCACAAUGGGCGCAAGCCUGAUGCAGCCAUGCCGCGUGUAUGAAGAAGGCCUUCGGGUUGUAAAGU
rnacentral:rRNA from 1 species